UACAGAGGUCUCAAGCGUUGCUCGGAUUCAUUGGGCGUAAAGGGUGCGUAGGCGGCGCGGUAAGUCGGGUGUGAAAUCUCGGAGCUUAACUCCGAAACUGCAUUCGAUACUGCCGUGCUUGAGGACUGGAGAGGAGACUGGAAUUUACGGUGUAGCGGUGAAAUGCGUAGAUAUCGUAAGGAAGACCAGUGGCGAAGGCGGGUCUCUGGACAGUUCCUGACGCUGAGGCACGAAGGCCAGGGGAGCAAACGGG
rnacentral:rRNA from 1 species